rnacentral:rRNA from 1 species
UGGGGAAUUGUUCGCAAUGGGCGCAAGCCUGACGACGCAACGCCGCGUGGAGGACGAAGAUUUUCGGAUCGUAAACUCCUUUCGAUCGGGAAGAAUGGCUUCGGGGCGAAUACCCCUGGAGAGUGACGGUACCGAGAGAAGAAGCCCCGGCUAACUCCGUGCCAGCAGCCGCGGUAAUACGGGGGGGGCAAGCGUUGUUCGGAAUUACUGGGCGUAAAGGGCUCGUAGGCGGCCAACUAAGUCCGACGUGAAAUCCCAAGGCUUAACCUUGGAACUGCGUCGGAUACUGGAUGGCUUGAAUUCGGGAGAGGGAUGCAGAAUUCCAGGUGUAGCGGUGAAAUGCGUAGAUAUCUGGAGGAAUACCGGUGGCGAAGGCGGCAUCCUGGACCGACAUUGACGCUGAUGAGCGAAAGCUAGGGGAGCAAACGG